UUCCAGUUUGGCAUUUGCCUCACGUGGCCAUGGAGGGAUCUUUUAGCCAUUAGUGAUUGGAUACGUCUCAAUUUGCAAUGAUUGGCAGGGGCUCAACUCUGCUGCAAGAGUAUACUCUUCAGUUAGGUUGCAAUUUGCUCGUGCACUUAAUUAGGUUACAGCUUACUACACACAGAGGUGGUUCUGGGUCAAAUUUUCAUACCCAAGUACCAAAACAGAGGCCGAACUUUUCAAGCUUGAUGGACAUUGCCAAAAGUCUUCCAGGUCCUUUCCUGCACAGGCUGCUGAUAAGCAUCUUGGCAUUCAGGAUAGGUGGCGGUUCUCCACCUGGUCCCAGAAUGCAGUUUUGUAGCCUUAACAGACUUAAAUAUAUGACUGCUCCUGUACACUUAAACAGGAACAUCCAAGAAUCAAAACCACCUUGCUUUCCAGCCUGGUAGUGAUGUUUAAAAUGCACCGUUUCUCUCUCAAUGCCUAUUUCCCUCCACAGUAGGAGGAGAGAGAACCUUAGCCAUGGAAAGACCUCAGUCCUCUUUGGGGCAAAUGGCUUUUAAACCGCUCCCAAGGGGAGCCAUUGAUCAUCCCGCCUGACAGGAUCUGGCCUAUUAUUUCCGUGCUUUAAGCGACGCAGGCUGGCUCCCAUGGUUCUCAGCCUCUAAGUAGAGCUGGUGAAAUUAACUUGAAUGACCUAAUUCCCACCUUCCAGUCCACCCCUUCAUAUGCACUGUGCAAAGGGCAAAACAGAAGCGAAAUGGGAAAGAUUAACAAGGACCGUGCCAGCCCUUCUAGGAGAAGCCAUUGUUUCACUGCAUCUGGGGAGAAAACUACACUAUUUGGCAGUGUGGGGGGCCCCCAGGCACCGGCUGGUGCUAAUGAGCAAUGUGGUUGCUGAGCGGAGCUGUUGCCCUGGACCCGCCCUGUCUACCCUGGUUGACAGGUGCUGAGGGGAGGGGCAGGCCACAGCUGCUGGGGCAGGAAUCCCAUUAUCCUUUGCUGUGCAUUGAUUCACCCUGUGGGGACAUUUCCUCUCUGGCUGUGCUAAUUUGCCUGGCUCUGGGAGCACACAGUGUCUGAGCUGCAGUCUGCUGUUUCUGUGUGAGCGUGAUUCCCCUCAGCAUUGUGUAACCUCCUUCCUGAAGAAAGGUGAGGAGAGGCAGCUCUGAGACUUGAGAUAGUGUUGAGCUGACACACUCAGAGCUCUCUGGAGACAAGCCAAGUGCAGAGAGAGCAGAUCCAAGAACGAAGAGAACACACUCAGCCCUGGUCCUUCCAGAAAUACAAAGAGAAAACAAAACCAAGAAGCCAGGCAAACAAACACAAAACAAAGAAACAGAACCAGCUCUGGAGAGAACCAACAUUGGGCAAAGAGGAACCUGAGGAUGCUUCCAUCAAGGGGAAGGGAGAGAAAAGACAAGGGACCAAGAUAGAAGAUCCUGUGUUCAAUUUAGGUGGCAGUGUGCAUAGCUGAGCCAUUGUAUGCUGAAAAUAAGCAGAGAAGAUUGUGGCUAGGUUUCCUGAUAGAGUGCUGCAGUUCCUGACUUCCAUGUAGGCUUCUUCCUGCUUAGAGAGGAGAUACAGGAUGCUUGUUAGUGAGAUGGCCAUCUCAUCAGUAAGAGAUCAAGGUAUAAAGUAAAUGAUCAGGCUCUUGCUACCCAGAAUUCCCUGGGAAACAGAGGGACGCACUCCAUCUAGG